CAGGACAGUCAAGAUGGCUCCAAUUCAACUUUUAGGGUUUUUGCUGUUCUGCCUCCCAGCCAUGAGAUGUGACAUCCAGAUGACCCAGUCUCCUUCACUCCUGUCAGCAUCUGUGGGAGACAGAGUCACUCUCAGCUGCAAAGCAAGUCAGAGUAUUUACAACAACUUAGCCUGGUAUCAGCAAAAGCUUGGAGAAGCUCCCAAACUCCUGAUAUAUAAUGCAAAGAGUUUGCAAACGGGCAUCCCGUCAAGGUUCAGUGGCAGUGGAUCUGGUACAGAUUACACACUCGCCAUCAGCAGCCUGCAGCCUGAAGAUGUUGCCAUAUAUUUCUGCCAGCAAUAUGACAGGCUCCCUCAUUUUAUCCAAACCUUUGAAGGAACAAAAUGUACAGUUGCUUGCUGGUCAGGAUGGAACCAACAGACAUCAGGAAAAUCUCCAAAAUUCUUGAUCUAUGGUUCAUCUGACUUGUAA